rnacentral:rRNA from 1 species
GUUAAGCGACUAAGCGUACACGGUGGAUGCCCUGGCAGUCAGAGGCGAUGAAGGACGUGCUAAUCUGCGAUAAGCGUCGGUAAGGUGAUAUGAACCGUUAUAACCGGCGAUUUCCGAAUGGGGAAACCCAGUGUGUUUCGACACACUAUCAUUAACUGAAUCCAUAGGUUAAUGAGGCGAACCGGGGGAACUGAAACAUCUAAGUACCCCGAGGAAAAGAAAUCAACCGAGAUUCCCCCAGUAGCGGCGAGCGAACGGGGAGCAGCCCAGAGCCUGAAUCAGUGUGUGUGUUAGUGGAAGCGUCUGGAAAGGCGCGCGAUACAGGGUGACAGCCCCGUACACAAAAAUGCACAUGCUGUGAGCUCGAUGAGUAGGGCGGGACACGUGGUAUCCUGUCUGAAUAUGGGGGGACCAUCCUCCAAGGCUAAAUACUCCUGACUGACCGAUAGUGAACCAGUACCGUGAGGGAAAGGCGAAAAGAACCCCGGCGAGGGGAGUGAAAAAGAACCUGAAACCGUGUACGUACAAGCAGUGGGAGCACGCUUAGGCGUGUGACUGCGUACCUUUUGUAU